rnacentral:rRNA from 1 species
CCUACGGGAGGCUGCAGUGGGGAAUAUUGGACAAUGGGGGCAACCCUGAUCCAGCCAUGCCGCGGGUGUGAAGAAGGCCCUCGGGUUGUAAAGCACUUUCAGUGAGGAAGAACGCCUGGUGGUUAAUACCCAUCAGGAAAGACAUCACUCACAGAAGAAGCACCGGCUAACUCCGUGCCAGCAGCCGCGGUAAUACGGAGGGUGCGAGCGUUAAUCGGAAUUACUGAGCGUAAAGCGCGCGUAGGUGGCUUGAUAAGCCGGUUGUGAAAGCCCCGGGCUCAACCUGGGAACGGCAUCCGGAACUGUCAAGCUAGAGUGCAGGAGAGGAAGGUAGAAUUCCCGGUGUAGCGGUGAAAUGCGUAGAGAUCGGGAGGAAUACCAGUGGCGAAGGCGGCCUUCUGGACUGACACUGACACUGAGGUGCGAAAGCGUGGGUAGCAAACAGGAUUAGAUACCCCUGUAGUC